GGCGGUUAGAUAAGUNUGAAGUUAAAGGCUGUGGCUUAACCAUAGUACGCUUUGGAAACUGUUUAACUUGAGUGCAGAAGGGGAGAGUGGAAUUCCAUGUGUAGCGGUGAAAUGCGUAGAUGUAUGGAGGAACACCGGUGGCGAAAGCGGCUCUCUGGUCUGUAACUGACGCUGAGGCUNGAAAGCGUGGGGAGCGAACAGGAUUAGAUACCCUGGUAGUCCACGCCGUAAACGAUGAGUGCUAGGUGUUAGGCCCUUUCCGGGGCUUAGUGCCGCAGCUAACGCAUUAAGCACUCCGCCUGGGGAGUACGACCGCAAGGUUGAAACUCAAAGGAAUUGACGGGGGCCCGCACAAGCGGUGGAGCAUGUGGUUUAAUUCGAAGCAACGCGAAGAACCUUACCAGGUCUUGACAUCCCGAUGCCCGCUCUAGAGAUAGAGUUUUACUUCGGUACAUCGGUGACAGGUGGUGCAUGGUUGUCGUCAGCUCGUGUCGUGAGAUGUUGGGUUAAGUCCCGCAACGAGCGCAACCCUUAUUGUUAGUUGCCAUCAUUCAGUUGGGCACUCUAGCGAGACUGCCGGUAAUAAACCGGAGGAAGGUGGGGAUGACGUCAAAUCAUCAUGCCCCUUAUGACCUGGGCUACACACGUGCUACAAUGGCUGGUACAACGAGUCGCAAGUCGGUGACGGCAAGCUAAUCUCUUAAAGCCAGUCUCAGUUCGGAUUGUAGGCUGCAACUCGCCUACAUGAAGUCGGAAUCGCUAGUAAUCGCGGAUCAGCACGCCGCGGUGAAUACGUUCCCGGGCCUUGUACACACCGCCCGUCACACCACGAGAGUUUGUAACACCCGAAGUCGGUGAGGUAACCUUUUAGGAG
rnacentral:rRNA from 1 species